rnacentral:rRNA from 1 species
AUCAAUAAGCGGAGGAAGAGAAACCAACAGGGAUUCCCUUAGUAACGGCGAGCGAAGUGGGAACAAGCCCAGGUCUGAAAUCUCCCGGUCGGCAAUUGUCGUGGCCGGGCGAAUUGUGGUCUGGAGAGGCAGACUGUCCCGAUCCACUGCUUUUGAGCCCGAAGUUGACUUGGAACGGCACGCCAGAGAGGGUGAGAGCCCCGUAGGGCAUGGAAAUCUAGAGCAGCGGGACGAGGGUCUGUACUCGUGGAGUCGGGUUGUUUGGGAUUGCAGCCCCAAGUGGGUGGUAGACUCCAUCCAAGGCUAAAUACGGACGCGAGACCGAUAGCUGACAAGUACCGUGAGGGAAAGGUGAAAAGCACUUUGAAGAGAGAGUUCAACAGACCGUGAAACCGUUGGGAGGGAAGCUCAGGGUGUCGAGGUUGUCGUGCUCUGCUGCGAGUUCAAUCGGUGGAGGUCGGAAACAGCCACUGCCGAUGCACUCUCCUGUGGAGUUGGACCGUCAGUUGGGGAGAGACGGAGUCCUGUGUUGUCGACGGUCGGGAGGUGUGCCCCGGAUUACCCUCGGGUGCCGGGGUGACGUAUAGCCGCUCCGUUGUGGACUCUGUCGUCUUCCAGGUGCGAGUUGGACGUCUGUUCGUCCAGAGUUGGAAGGUACAGUCUCCCUCCUUGUGGGGGAGUUCGGGCCAUCUCGGCAGUUGUGCCUCGUUGUGUUGCCGUGUUCCGUUCUCUCCCCGCUUAGCCUCGGCGGGUGGGGCAGAGUGCGGCACGACUCGCAUUCGAUGGUGUCCUGUCCGGGCUGUGAUCCAAGUCGACUGUGCCGAGGUGACUGGCGAAGAGUCGUUACCCUGUGCCCCGUCUUGAAACACGGACCAAGGAGUGCAAGAGGUGCGCGAGUCGGAAGGGUUUUGUUGGGACCUGUCCUCGUGGCGGUCCCGCCUGAGAGACCCAUGUGUUACUGGAACGGGCGAAGUGAGAGCAAUUUCGCGGGUGCGAGAGCCGCGGGGAGACCUGCGGCACAUCGCUGGCCGAACCGUAUGGUCACGCUGUGGCCGGUUUCGAGUGCGAGCGUAUCUGUUGCGACCCGAAAGAUGGUGAACUAUGCCUGAGGAGGGUGAAGCCAGAGGAAACUCUGGUGGAGGCCCGUAGCGGUUCUGACGUGCAAAUCGAUCGUCGCACUUGGGUAUAGGGGCGAAAGACUAAUCGAACCAUCUAGUAGCUGGUUCCCUCCGAAGUUUCCCUCAGGAUAGCUGGAGCUCGUUCCGAGCAGUUUCGUCGGGUAAAGCGAAUGAUUAGAGGUAUCGGGGUUGAAAGGAUCUCGACCUAUUCUCAAACUUUCAAUCGGCGAGAAGGGACUGUCUU